AACGAACGCUGGCGGCAGGCCUAACACAUGCAAGUCGAGCGCCCCGCAAGGGGAGCGGCGGACGGGUGAGUAACGCCUGGGAACGUGCCCCUUUCUACGGAAUAGCCUCGGGAAACCGGGAGUAAUCCCGUCUAAGCCCUACGAGGGAAAGAUCUAUCGGGAAGGGAUCGGCCCGCGUUGGAUUAGGUAGUUGGUGGGGUAAUGGCCUACCAAGCCGACGAUCCAUAGCUGGUUUGAGAGGAUGAUCAGCCACACUGGGACUGAGACACGGCCCAGACUCCUACGGGAGGCAGCAGUGGGGAAUCUUAGACAAUGGGCGCAAGCCUGAUCUAGCCAUGCCGCGUGAGCGAUGAAGGCCUUAGGGUUGUAAAGCUCUUUCAGUGGGGAAGAUAAUGACUGUACCCACAGAAGAAGCCCCGGCUAACUCCGUGCCAGCCGCCGCGGUAA
rnacentral:rRNA from 1 species